rfam:Schistosoma curassoni strain Dakar, Senegal genome assembly, scaffold: SCTD_scaffold0000356
AUCCAGCUGGCGAGUCUCAAAUACAAGGAAACGUGCGUCCUGGAU